GAUGUACUCCCUCCGUCCAAAAUUACUUGUCAUCAAAAUGGAUGAAAAUGGAUGUAUCUAGAACUAAAAUACAUCUAGAUACAUCCAUUUCAAUGACAAGUAUUUCCAGACGGAGGGAGUACAUA
rnacentral:pre_miRNA from 1 species